UAUUAUUAUUAUUAUUAUUAUUAUUAUUAUUAUUAUUUUGGUACUGAGGAUUGAAUUCAGGGAUACUCAACCACUGAGCCAUGUCCCCAGCCCUAUUUUGUAUCUUAUUUGAGACAGAGUCUCACCAAGUUGCUUAGAGACUCACUUUUUGCUGAGGCUGGAUUUGAAUUUAUAAUCCUCCUGUCUUUGCCUCCUGAGCCACUGGGAUUACAGGCAUGCACCACCAUGCCCAGCUCAAGUAUUAUCUUUUUAUCAUUCACCAAAAUUAAUUAAAACAAUAAGAAGGUCAUUAUUUGUCUACUUAAAAUUAAAAAGAUUUACAGAAGAUUAAAUAUUUUGCUUAACUUUACCUGGGUGGAACGUGACCAGGCCUGGACAUGAAUCCAAUAUCCAAAAUAUGCUGUGGGUUUUCCACCACAUGGCAAACUCUCUUCUUUUGGAGUUAGUUUUACCAGUUGCUGUUUCAGCAGCAUGUCACCCACUUGGCUCUUACACUUAUGUAUACAUUAGGAAUAAUUCUGGCCACAAUAACAAUAGUCCACUUUAUCUACGGUUUUGCAUUCUGUAAUAUCAGUUACUCAAAUUCAACUGUGUUUCAAAAAUACUGAAUGGAAAAUUCCAGAAAUAAUCAAUCUACAAGUUUUGAACUGCCUGCUGAUUUGAUAGUGUGAUGAAAUUUUGUGCCAUCCUUCUUCCUCACACCUGGGAUGUGGAUCAUCUUAUUGCCCAGUGUAUCCACAUUCUAUAUGCUACCCCUUUGUUAGUUGCUUGGUACCUAUCUCACUCUCAGACUAACUAUGGUGGCAAGGCAGUGCUUGCAUUCAGGUAACUCUACUCCAAAGCACAGGGGUAAUCCAGCUGGCAAUUCACAUGUGCUAAAGAGAAGUCAAAAUAUUUCUUUCAAGUAAAGAGAAGGAGUUUUUGAUUUAACCAGAAAGGGGGAAAAAUGGUAAUCUGAUGUCCCUAAGAAUUACAGUCACAAUGAGAUUAUGAAGGACAAAGAAAUUUGUACGUGUUUUUACUGUCACUUUAAACUUUGAAAGCUCUAGCCACAGUGUAUACUUGCUUCAUCAAAAAGGAAAAAAAAAACAUUGAAUUAUAGAGUUUAGUACAUCCAUUGAGAUAUAUCCCCCAUAGAUAAGGAAACCACUGUAUCAGAAUACCUAAGAGUCCACUAAACAAUAUUGUAAAUUGGUUUCUGACAGAGCCUGUUUGAGAUGAACUAUUUCAUUGGGAGUUUUUUCAGGAGCAUCACCUUAGAGAUAGUGAAGGGUAGAUGAACAUAUAAAAUAUAUAUAUUUUAACACUAUACACACACACACACACACACACACGGACAAUACCAAGGAUGUGUGGUAGCACUUCAGAUGAGAUAGCCCUUGAGAGUUAGCCAUUUUGAGAAAUGACACUCAGGUUUUCAAUUAGUCAUUGGAUGCAACUUUCCUCAGGAAAGGGGGCAUAUUUUUGAGGAGGCUGUCUUCAACUAAUGCAAUUCUGGAAGAGGAAUUGACAGCUCAGAGAUGUCGCUCAAGAUCUUCUUAGGACUUGGGAGAGUAAAUAUCUCCAUCCUGGAUAGAGAUUCAGCCAGCAUAGCACUGUGUUCACCGAAACAAACACCUUGGUUUUAUCUAUGACAAGAAAUCUAUAUUUUAAUAGUUGCUAAGGAUUUUGGUUCAGCCAGUCAAUGACAUCAGUUCUGCGGUAUUACUGUCUUGUUCUUGGUCGGUCUUUCUUUCUUUCUUUUUAAUUUUUUUUAGUUGUAUAUGGACAUAAUGCCUUUAUUUUAUUUAUUUAUUUUUAUGUGGUGUUGAGGAUGGAACCCAGUACCUCAUACAUGAGAGACAAGUGCUCUGCCACUGAGCCACAAUCCCAGCCCCUCUUGGUCUUUAUUUAUAAAAAACAUAAUGUUGAUCCAAUUUCAUUAAUCAAAAUUUGGAAAAGGGAAAAACAAGGUGGUAUCAAUCAUUAUGGCUCUCUUUAUUAAGCAACCUAAAGUUGGCCUUAAAGUCCUAGGAGAGGCUUACUCUUUAUUCUUAUUGUCAAUGAUUGGGUCACAGGACAAGAGAUAUUGGCAAAUUUGAUCCUUUUUUUUUCUUUUGAAGAUCAAAGAUUGUCUUGAUUCACUUACAUUAUUUUUCCUGACGCUUGAAAUAUAGUUCCCUGAUGAGGCUUGUUAAUAAAAGAAAAGCCAGGAUAGAUAACAUGGAAAGCCAAGGAGCAGGAUUAGUCACCGGUCGUUUUAUUCUUGUUUUGUAACCACAUUGACCUCUAAAAAGUGUAUACUUUAAUGCCAUCCUAAUGGUUGCUUAGGAUAUUGGUUGCUUAGGAUCUGGGGCAUCUGAGGAGGGAGGAUCUGAGGUUUGGCACAGAGCAAAUAUCACUUCUUCUAAACUAGAGCUUAUCUUAACUCAAUCAAUACCUUUGAAUCUGCAGAUGGACAAAGAAGAAGAAAGUGUGAGUGCAAAGAACAGGGAUAAUGCUCUGGAUUUAGGUGGGAAUUCCACCCUUGUGUGUAAUAGGUUACAAAAGAAUGACUAAAGAUAUCCAGUUCUACUUAAUGAGAACUAGCCUAUCCUUUCAUUUAGAUCAAAUCUCUUUACCACCAAACGCAUUUCGAGUCCUAGUAGCUUUGUCUCAGUGCUGCUGUGUAUUGGCAUUGAUUUUGGACUAUAUUGCGUCUGCAGUAAAUUAGCUUAGUGAGUCUUGAAAAAUGGGGUCAUAGAGUCCUUAGAAAUUUAGGGCUGGAGAGAUUUUGGAAAUCAUCUCAUGCAAAGCUCAUAAUUUUAUACACAGGAAACUGUAUAAACUGAGGUCAAGAAAGGGCAAGUAGCCCCAAAGAAAUAUAGGUAUGAACUUUUGAAAAAUCUGUUUGUUUUUUUUCCUUUUUCUUUCUUAUUAAGCACUAGUUAGGCAUUUUACUGAUCUUGGACUUCUCUUUGGAUUGAUUUGAGCAGAAUAUGAUUGUGAUUGUCACCAAAAGUUGAAAAAAAAUGUUUAUAUUCAGGGAAAAGAAAUGACAUCAAAAAAAAAGAUAGCUUAAAUAAUUUUUGUAAGAUUGAAGUCUACUUUGUGAGCCAAAGUAAGUCAAACAUUAGAAGUACCACCUUUUGACAAAGUAAUUAUUUUAAAAAUAAUACUUGAUGAUUGUUAUUAAAUUCACAGAACAAUUAACAUGUUUCUGAAUCAGCAAAAUAAAAUAGAUAUUUCAGCAAACAGCUAUUUAACUUGGUGAUGUCCCAGCAGUCCAAAUCUAAACAUAGAUUUCAAUGGCUCAAGUUUGUUUAAUGGGAAAACCUAUCCAAAGAGAAACAUUUGUUUCAUCUGUAGUGAGGAAAUAUUCAUCUGCUAUUAGGUUGGUACAGAAAGCCAAGAGUUUGCAAAAAUUUCCACCGCCUGCUUGUUGCUUGUGAUCCAAUUGAUGAAAAUAUUUGAAUAAAAAAGAAAAGAAAAAAAAGGAAAAGAAAAUCAAUGGGGUGGGUGGUCAAUCACUUUUUAAAAUGCAGCUUUGGCAAAACAUUAUGUGGGGAUUGGGCAUUUCAACAACUGAAUAACAUUUUUUUUCUGUUAUUGGAUGUGCUACCUUUGGGAGUACAAAUAGAAUUCCAGCACCAAUGAACUGGCAAAGGUGAAUUUAAAUAGCAAAGUCAUCUGCAAUAGUGACUAUUGUGAGAGGGACUUUCAAGACACUGGAUGCUUCUUUAAUGUUCUGUUUUAGCCCAUAAUAAUUAGAAAACCAUCCAAACUAUUCUUUUGUUUCUGCAUUCAAUGUUUUAAUAAUGUGUAUCAAUUCAUUUUGCUGAUGAUAUUUGGAUUGAACCCAGGGCUUCCUAUAUACUAUAUAAGUUUUUUACCACUGAGCUGUACCUGUAGCCAAAUAAUAUGCAUUAGAUGGAAAUUUGCUUGAUAAAAUUUUACCUUAUAAUAAGAGGGGACAUUGGAGAGAUUUCUGGUUAAAAUGUUUCAUUUUGUAAUCAAAGACAUCAAGGCAAGAUAGGACAACUAACUUUGUCACAAUCUCAGAGCUAGUUGUGACAGGCUUCAGGGUUCUUCCAUUAUAUUCUAUUAUUCUAGAAAGAAUGAUGGGUGGCAGGUAUCUCUCAGUCUCUACUGUCUUAACACAGUCUAUAAAAUUAGGCUGUACAUUGAACCAGCAUAUCUUUUUUCACUGUUUUCACAACAGGACAAGAUAUAAAGGAUGGUUAAAGGCAUAGUUUUUAAGAAGCAACAAAUAAGAGGAAAUAAAUGCUAUAAAACACAGAAGCAUAUUAUGCUUAUCAUAAGGGAAAAUAGUUUUACAUGUUUUAACAGAUCUUGAGAACUUGUAUGUACAUGAAACACACUUCAAUAUUUGAGGUUCAUUUGGACUGUUUAGAAUUCCCAAGGCAUUUUAGGAUACAUAUACGUUAUUUUGUAUAUGCUUAAAAUCUUAAGAAGAGAAAAACUAUAUGGAGACUUAAAAUUUGAAUAAGGCAAAUUUUCACACAACCUCUAACAAUCAGAAACAAAAUGUAAUUUCAGUGAUAUUUAUUGAACUUCUGAUAGAAAAAUCACAUAUUGAUAUAAUUAAAAUCAAUGCCUCAUAUAACCUAUCAUUGAACUAUGUAUUGGGCAUUGUCAACUCCGGAAAUCUCACUAUUUUUUAAAAUUUGAAGGCACAUUUUUUGGGAUUAUAUUUUAUAUAUAAUUUAAGACCCUUGACCUUUUAAGUUUAGCUUAUUUCGAUUAAUAUAAUGUUUUCAAGUUCCAUCCAUUUUCCUGCAAAUGACAUAAUUUCAUUUUUCUUUAUGGUGGCAUCAAACUCCAUUGUGUAUAUGUACCACAUUAUUUUUUAUCCACUCAUCCAUUGAUAGACACCAAGGCUGGUGCCAUAGUAGGGCUAUUUGAAUUGUGCUUCUAUAAACAUGAAUAUGUUUGUGUUGCUAUCAUAUGCUGACUUUAAUUCUUUAGGAUAAUAUGAAUGAGUGCUACAGCUAGUAGCUGUAGACUCCUAGUCUUUGGAGGAAAGGAACCUCCAUACACUCUUUCAAUUAUUAUAAAUAUAUAAUCCCAAAAAUAUGCCUUCAAAUUUUAAAAAAUAGUGAGGCUUCCAGAGUUGACAAUGUCAGUGUUUGGAAAAAAAGAUUUUUGGUACUGAUCAUGAAUUUCUUGCCAGAUGUAAACAAAUGGUGUUUUGCUUUGGCAUACACAUAAAGAUAAUUUUUAAGUUCAAUUUGCAUUUCUAAAUGCUAAUCUGGAAAGACACAUGCCCCUUUUUGCAUUAUAAAACAAAACACACCAGUGCCAUUCUAUGUCAUUUUUCCAUUAAACUUCUUCCUUUGACUAUGGCCCUUCAUGGUAACAAAUGGGCCAUAACAAAGAGCAGGGAGAUAUUACUUGUCCCAUAAGUUCUUUGUCAUUGAUCUCUACUAUUAUUAGGAUAAGACACUGGUACCUCAAACAAUGCCCACCCCUGAUAUGAAAAUAGAUCUUUUGUUAUGUGUCUAUUGUUACAAUUCUCCAAUAUUACAAUUAAAACCUAGAGAUUAUUUUAAUCAAGUGUUAGUCACAGAAAGUGAUGUUGCAAAAAAAUGUAAUAGUCCAGGAACAACCUGAAAUGAGACAAACCCUGUGCAAAAAUUCUACAAGGCUUUCAAUGAAGAAUUAACACCAAUACUCCUUAAAUUAUUCCAUGAAAUAGAAAAGGAGGGAACUCUUCCAAACUCAUUCUAUGAUGUUAGUAUCACACUGUUACCAAAAGCGGGCAAAGACACAUAAAGGAAAGAAAAUUUCAGACCAAUACCCCUAAUUAAUAGAGAUGCAAGAAUUCUCAAUAAAAUUCUGGCAAACUGCAUGCAAAUCAUAUUAAAAAGAUAGUGCGCCAUAAUCAAGUGGAGUUUAUCACAGGGAUGCAAGGUUGGUUCAAGAUACAGAAAUCAGUUAGCAUAAUUUAUCACAUCAAGAAUCAUAUGAUCAUCUCAACAGAUGCAGAAAAAGCACUAGUCAAAAUAGAGCUCCCCUUCAUGUUCAAAACUCUAGAAAAACUAGGGAUAAUAGGAACAUAUCUCAACAUUGUAAAAGCUAAAUAUGCUAAGCCCAAGGCCUAAAUCAUUCUAAAUGGAGAAAAAUUGAAAGCAUACCCUCUAAAAACUGGAAGAAGAAUUUCAAGAAUUCUGGUUAGAAUUCUUGAAAUUCUAGCCAGGGAAAUUAGACAGGAGAAAGAAAUUAAAGAGAUAUAAAUAGGGAAGGAAGAACUCACACUAUCACUAUUUGCCAAUCACAUGAUUCUGUAUUUAGAAGACUCAAACAUUCCACCAGAAAUCUUCUAUAACUAAUAAUAAAUGAAUUCAGCAAAGUAGCAGGAUAGAAAAUCAACACCCAUAAAUCAAACAUGUUCCUAUACAUCACUGAUGUAUCCACUAAAAGAGAAAUUAGAAAAACUACCCCAUUCAUAAUAACCUUAAAAAAAUAAAAUACUUGGGAAUCACUCUAACAAAAGAAGUAAAGAACUCUAUAAUGAAAACUAUGGAACAUAAAAGACAUAAGUUGAAGAAGACCUUAGAAGAUGGAAAGGUUGCCCUUGCUCCUGGAUAGGCAGAAUUAAUAUUGUCAAAAUAGACAUUCUACCAAAAGAAUUAUACAUAUGUAAUGCAAUGCCUACUAAAAUCAUAAUGACAUUCUUUAUAGAACUAGAAGAAGUAAUCAUGAAAUUCAUUUGGAAAAAUAAGAGACCCAGAAUAACAGAAGUAAUCCUUAGCAAGAAGAGUGAAAUAUGAGGCGUAAUACCAGAUUUUAAACUAUAUUACUCAGCCAUAGUAACAAAAAUGGCAUGAUAUUGGCACCAAAACAAAACAUAAACCAAUGGUACAGAACAGAAGACACAGAUAUAAACCUAGAUAAAUAUGAUUAUCUCAUAGUAGAAAAAGGUGCCACAAACAUUCAUUGGAGGAAAGAAAGCCUCUUCAAUAAAUGGUGCUGGGAAAACUGGAAAUCGAUCUGUAUCAAAAUGAAAUUAAACCCCUGUCUCUCACCCUGCGCAAAACUCAACCCAAAGUGAAUCAAAGGCUUAGGCACUAAACAGAAGCCCAGCACCUAAUACAAGAAAAAGUAGGCCCAAAGCUUCACGAUGUUUGGCUUAGGAUCUGACUUCCUUAACAAGACUCCUAAAGCACAAGAAGUAAAAUCAAAAAUGAAUGAAUGAGAUAGAUUCAAAUUAAAAACAAAAAGCAGUCUUCUCGGCAAAGAAAACAAUCAAUAUGGUGAAAAGAGAGUCUACAGAAUGGGAUAAAAUCUUUACUAGAGGCCCCUCAGAUAAAGCAUUAAUCUCAAGAACUCAAAAAUCUUAUCACUGAAAACAAAAUAACCCAGUUAAUAAAAGGGCUAAGGAACUGAAGAGACACUUCACAGAAGAAGAAAUUCAAUUGAUCAACAAAUAUAUAAAAAAUGUUCAACAUUUGUAGCAAUUAGAGAAAAGCAAAUCAAAACUACUCUAAUAUUUCAUCUCACUCCAGUCAAAAUGGCAAUUAUUAAGAAUACAGGAAACAAUAAAUGUUGCAAGGAUGUGGGGGAAAAGGUACACGCAUACACUGCUGGUGGGACUGCAAAUUGAUGCAACCACUAUGGAAAGCAGUAUGGAGAUUCCUUAGAACACUUGGAAUGGAAUUACCAUUUGACCCAUCUAUCUUGGGUCAAAUCCUUGAUUUAUACCCAAAGGUCUUUAGUCACCAUACUACAGUGACACAGUCACAUCAAUGUUUAUAGCAGCUCAACUCACAAUAGCUAAAAUAUGGAACCAAACUUGAUGCCCUUCAAUAGAUGAAUGUUUAAAGAAAAUAUGGUGUAUAUACACACAAUGGAGUAUUAGUCAGCCUUAAAGAAGAAUAAAAUUAUGGCAUUUUCUGGUAAAUGGAUGCAGCUAGAGAACAUUAUGCUAAGUGAAAUAAGCCAAUCCCAAAAAUGUUUUCUCUGAUAUACUGAUGCUACUUCACAAUAAGGGUGUGUGUGUUAAGGAACAAUAGAGCCAUCCUGGACUAGGCAGAGGGAAGUAAAGUGAGGUGAGUGGGUAUGGGAAUAGGAAGGACAGUAGAAUGAAUUGGACAUUAUUACACUAUAUGCAUAUAUGACCACACUGCCAGCGUGAUUCUGCGUAACGUACCAACAGAAGAAUGAGAAGUUUUGAAGUGUCAAAAUACAUUCUACUAUCGUGUCUCUGUAUUUUUAAAGGGAUAGUAACAAAAAUGUGAAUAUGUGAAAUUUGUGACAGAGACCAUUAUGUGUAUUACUUAGUCUAGAAACUUACCAUUUCGAUUUUUAGAGAAAAACUUUGCUGACACCUAUGUUAAGUAUGGUAUGUAUAUAGUUGAUGUUUAAUUUAAACUCCUCACACUCGGAGGAGCACUAUACUAAUAUUGACAAAGGGAAUGGGUGAAUCAAAAAGUGUGAAGAGGUACAGGUUAAAGGUAGCAUUUAUAAGGUGUAAACAUCUCAAGCUCACGAUAAUUUUUUAUAUAUUAUUCUCAAUUCUGGUUAGAAGGAAUGAUCUUUUCCCAUCAUGUUAUAUUUUUGUAUGGAGAAUAGGCCAAAUUGUCCUAUGUCACUCAUUUGUAGUGAUACAGGCAAUUGUAAUUCACAAACAUGAACUAAAACAUUUCUAGCAGUGGUAAGAAUUUUUAAAAUGGGAAUUUUUAAAAAGACUAUUUAAAUCACAAAGCAGUAGAAAAUACUUGAGUAAUUGAAGGUAUAGUUUAUGAUAGAAAAUUAAAAUUUCUCAAUAACCAUUAUAUGUAUUAAUGAUAACAAUAAUAUAUUUAAUCUUGUGAUCAGAAAGCAAUAAUUUUGGCCUUUCCCUUUCAGUUCUAAAAAGAUUGGAAUUAGGUUUAUGAAGCAAAUUUAAUCUAAUUUGCAACUUGAAAAAUGAGAACACUGCCUUCCAUAGUUUUGUUUAAUAGAAUCGAGGUUAGCAAAAUUUGUGGGGAAUGGAAUGUUGCUGGGAUUGACUCAGUUUCCCCCUUACACAUGCCUCUUGAAUGAAAAUACUUUUAAUAAUCAUCUGUCAGAAACUUUAUUCAAUUAUCUAGCUGUUAUAUUUUGAAGUUUUGUUCUAAUGAAGGAGAGUUAGCAAUAAUAGAUUGAUUUCUGAUUUUGCUUUUUAAAAAAAAAUAGAAGAAAAUUAUUGGUGUUAAAAUAUCAAUUUAGAAUCAUUUUUAAAUGAAUAAAUAUUUCAGUGAAUUCAUCACAAAAUAAUUUACUGAGUAUGAUGUAAGUUUGUAAAACUGGAUAUAGCCAGUAUUCAAUUAUUGAGGGAUUAUAUCGAAAUUUUCAAGUUGACCAACAGAGAUAGAGAAAGAGACAGAGGGUGGGGAGAGAGAGAGAAAGGAAAGAGGAAAAGAGAGAAAUUGAGAGUGGUGGGGAGAUGGAGAGAGAGAGACAUAGGAGUUCUAUUAAAAAUAAACAAAAACAAAAAGAAGCAGAUUGUAGAUGUGAUUGACCUCUGAAAAGUCAUGGGAUCCCAUGGGAAAAAAACAAAAACAAAAAAAUCUUAAUUCUUUAAAUAUAAGACUAAUCAGCCCCAAUGUACCCACUAUCAAUUUUUACUAAAGCAAAAUACACCAAGAAUUGGGAUCACAUUUUGUUUAAUGCCAUUCAUAGUUUAACUUCAUGGUAUGUAUAUGAAAAUCUUACAUUAUUAACCACCCAAGCCCAUCUCUUUUAAAAUCAUGUCAAAAUAUUUCUAGUAGGAGUUGAUUUUGAAUAACCAGAAUACCACACUAAUUAUUUUUCAAACAAAAAGCUCCAUAGACUGCAAACUGUAAUAAAAUUUGCUGGCUCAAUGACCCAAGUAUUUAUUGAAUUCACUGUGGAUCAACAUUUAAGCUGGGAUUUGCUAGAAGAAUCAAUUUCAUCUUCUCACAUGACAGGGGUUAUCAGGCUAUUAUCCAGAAUGACUAAGAAAAGAUAACUGUGUUAUGUUUUUCUCCCCUCCAUCCAGUAUUCGGGUGUAAAGAAGUUUUCUUGUAUAAUGCAGACCUACAAGAGUAAGUCCAGCCAAAUAAGAAUGCCAGGGCAGAAAUGUCCUCAUGCUCCAGAAACUUGAGCUAGCAUCAAUCACAGUGACUGCUUAAACAUCGGAUAAAGAAAGUCACAUGACUAAACUCAAAAUUAAACAGGAGAAGCACUGCAAGGCUAAGAGUCCAAAGAACAUGCAUAAGGAGCAUAUUAAUUGUGUCUGUGAAUACAAACAGUUUGCCACAAAGAACUUGUUUUCUUCAUGUUCUUAAUAUAUUUACAUGUACAUUUUCUCUACCUAAUGACCCCCUGAUGAAAUAUCAUUUUAAAAAUUAUUCCUAAUCAAGUUCAUUUGGGAUAUAAUUUACAUACACUAAAAUUCAUCUACUUUGAGUAUGCAUUUGCAUGAAUUUUGGAAAAUGAAUAUACUCAUGUAACCACUACUCCAAUCAGGUUGUAAAAUAUUUUCAAAUUCUUAAACAGUUCAUUCAUGGUUCUUUGUUGAAACGACCAAUGCCUGAAUCAGACAACCUUGAUAAGAUUUUUUUUCAUGCUAACUAGACAUUUGUUUGUUUGUUUGUAGAAAUUAUAUGUUCACAGCAAAAUUGAGCAUAAGAAAUUUUACAAAUAUCUCCUGUCCCCCCAACACAAAUAGCCUCCCCAGUUGUCAGUGUCUCUAACCACUGUUAUAUUUGUUCUAAUGGAAAAACCUACCUAGACACAUCAUUAGGACCCCAAAUCCACAGUUUACAUUAGGGUUCACUCUUGGUGUUGUACAUUAUGUAAGUCUUGACAUGAAUGAAUCCACCAUUAUAGUAUAGAGAGUAGGUUUCAUGCCCUAAAAAUCCUCUGUGCUCCACUCCAUCAUCUGCUCCCCCUGGACAAUCCCUGACUAUCUUGUUUUUUUUUUUUCUUCUUUUUUAAAAAAUAUUUUAAUAGUUUUGCUGUAUAGAAUGCAAGAAUGCCAAAUAUUUAGAAUUUUAUAAUACAUAAUCUUCAGAUUGAGUUGUUCCACUUGGCAAUAUGCAUUUAAGUUUCUUCUAUGUAUUUUCAGGAUUGAUAACUCAUUCCACUGUAAUGUUGAAAAAUAUUUCUUUGUUUGGAUGUGGAACAAUUUCUUUAGUCAUUCACCCACUAUAGUACAUUUUGACUGCUUCUGAAUUUUGGAAAUUAGAAAUAAAAUUGAGUAUUCCUGUGCAUGUUUUUGUGUGGAUUUGAUGUGAUUUUUAUUGCUAAAGAUUUUUCUGUUAUAGAAUUAUAUAUACAUGGAAUUAGAUUUUUCUUCUUUUCCAUUUUGCUCUUUUGUUCAGCAUAAUUUUUUUUGGUACUAGGGAUUAAACUCAGGGGUAUUCAACCACUGAGCCACAUCCCCAGCCCAAUUUUGUAUUUUUUAUUAGAGACAUCGCCUUAUCAUUGCUGAGGCUGGCUUUGAACUUGUGAUCCUCCUGUGUCAGCCUCCCACAUCAGCAUAAUAUUUAUGAUACAUUUAUGCAACAGAUACAUACAUCAGCACCCCUUUUCUUUUUCUGUUAAGAAAUAUUCCGUCAUAUGAAUAUGCUCUAAUUUUCUUAUUCAGCUGUUAUUAGACAUUGGGCUUUUCCAGUUUCGGGAUGUAAUAAAUACAGAUGCUAUAAACAUUUUUGUACAAGCCUUUUAAUAGAUACAUUUUUAUUUCUCUUAAUUAAACACUUUAGAAUGAUAGUAUGAACUCAUAUAGUUUAGGUGUUUUUAAUUUUAUAGAAAGUUGGAAACCUAUUUUCCAAAAUAGCUAUAAUAUUUUAUACUUUCAAUAGGAAUGUAUAAAAUGAUGCAUUGCUACACAUUCUUUCCAAUAGAAAGGAAAAGGACUUAUGAUUGAUUCACAUAUGGUCAAUAUUUUGAAAAAUACAGCCAUUCUGUUUGCAUGUAGUACAUUUUGUGGAAUUUUAAAGGAAAACAACCUUUUUGAAGUAUAACCCUCAAUAAAUGACCACAUUAGAGUGCAUUUUUAUGAGUUUUGUUAAAUGUACACAUCAGUGUAACCAUCACAGUCAAUAAAUCAAAAAUUUAUCUUCCAAAGGGUUGUCUUUUGCAGUUGAUCGUCCCCAUUCCUGGACUCUGGAAGUCAUGGAUCUUUAUUUCCACAGCUUUCCAUUGUUUUUUGCCUUCAUUGUGUCAUUUAAAUGCAGUCAUAUUAUAUGUACAUCUUUGUGUGUUACUCAGCAUGAUACUUUUGAGAUUUUUCUUUGUCACUUUGAGAAUCCAUUUCUUUUUAUGUUCAAUUGAUAUGCAUAAUUAUAUUACAAGUUCUUUUGCAAAGUCAUGGUUCUGUUUAGCAUGCUACCAGCAGUGUAUGAGAAUUGCUUUUGUUCUUAUUCUAUCACUUGAUUUUGCUGGACUUUUCAUUUUUAGAUACUUUAGUAUUUGUGUAUCUCACUGCAGUUCUAUUUGUUUCCUUGACAAGUGAUGAUUUUGAACAUCUCCACCUUAUUUGCCAGUUCAUAUUUUCUUUUGUAUGAUACCCAUUCAAAGUUUGUGCCUGAUUUCUGAACUUCCUCAUUUAUCUUCUCAUUAUUGGAUUAUGUGAAUUUUUUAUUAAUUCUGAAUACAAAUGUUUAUAUAAAUUCAAGCCAUUAAUUUUUCUCCCAUGGUAUAGAAGUUUUUCUUGUAUUAGUAUAGUGCUUACAUUAAGGCAUAGCAAAUUUGUCUUAACAUUUUGUUUUCAAAAUUUUACAUUACAGUAUACAUAUUAAACCUAUAAUCUGAUUUGAGUUCAUUUGAGUAUGUACUUUGAGUGAGGUAAAAAUAGACACUUGUUAGAGUCUAUAAACAAGUCAGGAUGGCGCCUGGCAAAUGUUAGAGUCUGUAAACAAGUCUGGAUGGCGCCUGGCAAAAUGCCAGAGGGAGUGGUUUGUGAAGUAACCCCAGCGAGCCAUUAUGUGUGGAGAUUUCUUAUUGGUUGACUGCUGUAUCAAGUUUAUGUUAAUUAAGAUAAGCUGUGUGGUAUGUAUCCUUCCGGUCCUACAAUAAAUGGCUCCUACUCCUGCUGUAUCAACGUACACAAGUUAUUUGUCACCCCCCGGUUAUUUUGCUGCAGCCAGCAGGACUGUGGCAGACACUCAUUACAUAUAUGGAAAUUACAUAAGCCUGAUAUAAUAUAUAUUUCUAUAUGUUGAUUAGAUAUAUCAUUACAUAUGUUUUAUAUGUAACUACAUAUUUAUUUUAUAAAAAAAUAUAUAAAUACAUAUUCAGUUGUUCUAGCACUCUUUCUUGUAGAUAAUUUUCUCCUUCCAUUAAAUGUUUUUGGAUGUUUUUGGAAAACAACGGACACCAAUAUGAAUAUUUGGGUAUAUUCUCUUCGAUCUUUAUCUGCAUGAUUUCCUGCACUGUUUUAUUGCAGUUUCAUUAAAAAGAAAGAAAGAAAAAAAAUCUUGACCUCAGGUCCUAUAAAUCCUCAAAAGUUUUUUUUUUUUUUUUUUCUUCUUCUAAUUGCUUUGGCUAUUGGCAGACCUUUGUAUAUAUUUGAGAAUCACCUGGUUGAAUUCUUCAAAAAUUAUUCUGAGUUUUCUUUUUUUUCACUAGAAUUUAAUUGAGUCUUUAUAUCAACAGUUCUGAAGGGUCAAGGUGCUGGCAGGGCUCUGAGGCUCUCGAGAGAAGUCUGUUCCAUGCCUUGCUCCAAGCUUCUAGCCAGCGCAGUCCCUGUGGUGUUCCUUGGCUUGUUAAUGCAUCCCUCAAAUCUCAACCUCUGUCUUAAUAUGCCAUUCUUCCCUUCCUAUGUCAAAUGUAUCUAGGUUGUGACCAGAUUUUUCUUGUUUUGUAAAGGAGACCAAUCAUUGUCUUAAGGGAAUAACCUAAUCUAAUAUGGUCAAAUCUUGGUUUUAUCUUCGAAGACCCUAUUUCCAAGUGAGAUUGUAUGUAUAAGUUCUAAGUAGACAUGGAUUUGGGGAACAGUAUUCAGUUUAGUGUAGUAUGAUUGUAAUGAACAUAUUUUUCAGUUUGAUUUUUAUAUUGAAAUAAAUAAAACUUUUAUGUUUACCAUACACCCUGUACUAUUGCUAAAUUUAUUUAUGAGUUGUAGAAGAUAUUUG
rnacentral:lncRNA from 1 species